rnacentral:lncRNA from 1 species
UUUUGAGAUCUGAUUCUGUUUGUUUGAGUUGUUUAGUUUUAAUUUGAUUUAUGGAAGACAUGUGAAGGAGAGAUGAUGUUGGAAGAUAGGGAAAAAAGAUAAUCUAGUGUUGAGAGUGUACCAUAAGACAAUGUUCUUUACUUAAUCUAAUGGAUAAAAUUUACUUUCUCAUGGUGGGAAACUAUUGUCCAUUUCCAUGCUAAAUGCCACCCCAAACCUUACCUGAGAGAGUGUGACCGAGACUAACAAACUUAUCUGCGCAGCCAUUGCCUUCUCGGUAAAUGUGAGAGGAGAGAACCUGUAAACCAUGAGAAAAAAAUUGUAGGGUGAUUAGUUUAUUAAUUUAUCAUGAUCCUCAUGAAUUUUCUAUUCUAUCGACUUAUUACAGUUAUGCAAGUUGUGGUAGUAUGUUAUACUUGCCAUAAAUUUGUGGGUCUUCAUCUUCUUAACCUUUAUGUCAUUUAAAUUCAAUUUAAAUUGAUUUAAUUUACUGUUUCUGAGAAUUGUUUGAAAAAUUCAAUUUUUUAUUGUUGAUGAUUUACACACCCACUAAAGAGUUUCACGAUAAUCACAACUAAUUACAAAUGCUCAAGGACACAUCCAAGUGACUUCCUAUCCUCAAGCACACAAGCAAGGGACUACUAAAUACUAAAUCAAAACUGAAAGAGAUUUCUAAGAGUUUAUAGAUAAAAGAAUUUUCUUAC